ACAAGCGGUGGAGCAUGUUGGUUUAAUUCGAAGCAACGCGAAGAACCUUUACCAGGUCUUGACAUCCCGAUGCUAUUUCUAGAGAUAGAAAGUUACUUCGGUACAUCGGUGACAGGUGGUGCACGGUUGUCGUCAGCUCGUGUCGUGAGAUGUUGGGUUAAGUCCCGCAACGAGCGCAACCCCUAUUGUUAGUUGCCAUCAUUCAGUUGGGCACUCUAGCGAGACUGCCGGUAAUAAACCGGAGGAAGUGGGGAUGACGUCAAAUCAUCAUGCCCCUUAUGACCUGGGCUACACACGUGCUACAAUGGUUGGUACAACGAGUUGCGAGUCGGUGACGGCGAGCUAAUCUCUUAAAGCCAAUCUCAGUUCGGAUUGUAGGCUGCAACUCGCCUACAUGAAGUCGGAAUCGCUAGUAAUCGCGGAUCAGCACGCCGCGGUGAAUACGUUCCCGGGCCUU
rnacentral:rRNA from 1 species